AUUUAAGUAGCUCAUUAGAGUAUUGUGCUGAAGAUACAAAGGAGGAUAUAAUUAUCCCUUGAAUA
rnacentral:tRNA from 3 species